rnacentral:rRNA from 1 species
CCCUUUGUUUACCUUACCACUGUUGCCUCGGCGGGUCGUCGAUUCGUCGCCGUUGGCGUCUCCGGACGCUCUCGCGUACCCGCCACGAGGCCCCCUCUAAACUCUUUGUAAAACCCAGUUUUCUGAGCAAUAAAUCAAUUUAUUAAAACUUUUAACAACGGAUCUCUUGGUUCUCGCAUCGAUGAAGAACGCAGCGAAAUGCGAUAAGUAAUGUGAAUUGCAGAAUUCAGUGAAUCAUCGAAUCUUUGAACGCACAUUGCGCCCUUUGGUAUUCCGAAGGGCAUGCCUGUUCGAGCGUCAUUAUCAACCAUCAAGCUCUGCUUGGCAUUGGGCGUCUCGUCCCCCCAACAAGGGGACGCGCUCUAAAGGAUUCGGCGGUGGCAUGGAGCCUCAAGCGUAGUAAAAUUUAUCCCGCUUCAGAGGUCUCUGUACUUCCUGCCUCUAAACCCCCAAAUACCUCAAGGUUGACCUCGGAUCAGGUAGG